rnacentral:rRNA from 1 species
GAUGAACGCUGGCGGCGUGCCUAGUACAUGCAAGUCGAGCGAACAGACGAGGAGCUUGCUCCUCUGACGUUAGCGGCGGACGGGUGAGUAACACGUGGAUAACAUACCUAUAAGCCUGGGAUAACUUCGGGAAACCGGAGCUAAUACCGGCUAAUAUAUUGAACCGCAUGGUUCAAUAGUGAAAGACGGAUUUGCUGUCACUUAUAGAUGGAUCCGCUCCGCAUUGGCUGGUUGGUAAGGUCACGUAUUACCCAGGCGACGUUCCGUAGCCGACCUGAUAGAGUGAUCCGACACUCUGGAACUAAGACACAGUCCAGAUCCCAACGGUAGGCAGCAGUAUGGAAUCGUCCAAAUUAGGCAAAAGCCUGACAGAGCAAGGCCGCGGGUGUGAUGAGGGUAUUCGGAUCGUAAAACUCUGUUAUUUGGGAAGAACAAAUUUGGCGGUAACGAUGCGCGUCUUGACGGUACCUAAUCAGAAAGCCACGGCUAACUACGUG